GAUUAAUACUGCGUAACAUUAUUGAAUCGCAUGGUUUAAUAAUCAAAUCUACGGAGGUUACAGAUGGGCAUGCGUGCCAUUAGUUAGAUGGUGAGGUAACGGCUCACCAUGACAUCGAUGGCUAGGGGUUCUGCAAGGAAGAUCCCCCACACUGGUACUGAGACACGGACCAGACUCCUACGGGAGGCAGCAGUGAGGAAUAUUGGUCAAUGGAGGCAACUCUGAACCAGCCAAGCCGCGUGAAGGAAGACUGUUCUAUGAAUUGUAAACUUCUUUUGUGGUAGAGUAAAGAUAGCUACGUGUAGUUAUUUGCAAGUAUACCAUGAAUAAGCAUCGGCUAACUCCGUGCCAGCAGCCGCGGUAAUACGGAGGAUGCAGGCGUUAUCCGGAUUUAUUAGGUUUAAAGGGUGUCUAGGCUGCCACAUAAGUCAGGGGUGAAAGUCGGUUGCUCAACAAUCGAAUUGCCUUUGAAACUGUGUGGCUCGAGUAUAGAUGAGGUAGGCGGAAUGUGUAGUGUAGCGGUGAAAUGCAUAGAUAUUACACAGAACCCCAAUUGCGAAGGCAGCUUACCAAACUAUUACUGACGCUGAAGCACGAAAGCGUGGGUAGCGAACAGGAUUAGAUACCCCGGUAGUCCACGCCGUAAACUAUGCUCACUCGCUGUUGGCAAUAGAUCGUCAGCGGCUAAGGGAAACCGAUAAGUGAGCCACCUGGGGAGUACGAUCGCAAGAUUGAAACUCAAAGGAAUUGACGGGGGCCCGCACAAGCGGAGGAACAUGUGGUUUAAUUCGAUGAUACGCGAGGAACCUUACCUGGGCUUAAAUGUAGAGUGCAUAAAGUGGAAACAUUUUUUUCCUUCGGGACUCUUUACAAGGUGCUGCAUGGUUGUCGUCAGCUCGUGCCGUGAGGUGUCGGGUUAAGUCCCAUAACGAGCGCAACCCCUAUCGUUAGUUACCAGCACGUAGUGGUGGGGACUCUAGCGAAACUGCCGGUGUAAACCGUGAGGAAGGUGGGGAUGACGUCAAAUCAGCACGGCCCUUAUGUCCAGGGCUACACACGUGUUACAAUGGUCG
rnacentral:rRNA from 1 species